rnacentral:rRNA from 1 species
GACGAACCGUGCGAACGUUGUUCGGAUUCACUGGGCUUAAAGGGCGCGUAGGCGGGCGACCAAGUCAGGGGUGAAAUCUUUCAGCUUAACUGGAAAACAGCCUCUGAUACUGGUUGUCUGGAGGGAGGUAGGGGCCUGUGGAACUGCUGGUGGAGCGGUGAAAUGCGUAGAUAUCAGCAGGAACGCCGGUGGCGAAAGCGACGGGCUGGACCUCAUCUGACGCUGAGGCGCGAAAGCUAGGGGAGCAAACGGG